rnacentral:RNase_P_RNA from 1 species
GAAGCUGAUCAGACAGUCGCUAUUAUCUAUCUCGAUUUAUAAAUAAAUAAUAGAGGAAAGUCCGGGCUCCAUAGGGCAAAGGUGCCAGAUAACAUCUGGGAAGCGCAAGCUUACGACCAGUGCAACAGAAAACAAACCACCUAUAAAUAUUAAAUAGUAUUAUAAGGAAAGGGUGAAAAGGUGAGGUAAGAGCUCACCGCAUACUUGGUAACCAGUAUGGCUAGGUAAACUCCACCUGGAGCAAAGCCAAAUAGGAGUAUUUAUGUAUUAAUUGCCCUUUUAAAUAAUACUCGGGUAGGCUGCUUGAGAUAAUAAGUAAUUAUUAUCCUAGAUAAAUGACUGUCUCACACAGAACCCGGCUUAUAGAUCAGCUUCUAAA